rnacentral:piRNA from 1 species
UAAAAAGGUGAGUCCUACAUUGUGAAUGGCU